rnacentral:rRNA from 1 species
GACGUAGGGCGCGAGCGUUGUCCGGAAUUAUUGGGCGUAAAGAGCUCGUAGGCGGCUUGUUGCGUCGGCUGUGAAAUCCCGGAGCUCAACUCCGGGCCUGCAGUGGGUACGGGCAGACUAGAGUGCGGUAGGGGAGAUUGGAAUUCCUGGUGUAGCGGUGGAAUGCGCAGAUAUCAGGAGGAACACCGAUGGCGAAGGCAGAUCUCUGGGCCGUAACUGACGCUGAGGAGCGACAGCAUGGGGAGCAAACAGG